rnacentral:sRNA from 2 species
ACCACUAUCAAUCUAUCUAUCACUACUAAUCUAUACCACUGUCAAUCUAUCUAUCACUGUUAAUCUAUCACUGCUGUCAAUCUAUCUAUCACUGUCAAUCUAUCUAUUACUGCUAAUCUAUCACUGCUAAUCUAUUGCUGCUAAUCUAUCACUGCAAAUCUAUUACUACUAAUCUAUCACUGUCAAUCUAUCUACUGCUGUCAAUCUAUCUAUCACUGUCAAUCUAUCUAUCACUGCUAAUCUAUCGCUGCUAAUCUAUCACUGCUAAUCUAUCACUGCUAAUCUAUUGCUGUCAAUCUAUCUACUGCUGUCAAUCUAUCUACCACUGUUAAUUUAUCUACCACUGC